UGCGAACUCCUACGGGAGGCAGCAGUGGGGGAUCUUGCGCAAUGGGCGAAAGCCUGACGCAGCCAUGCCGCGUGUAUGAUGAAGGUCUUAGGAUUGUAAAAUACUUUCACCGGUGAAGAUAAUGACUGUAGCCGGAGAAGAAGCCCCGGCUAACUUCGUGCCAGCAGCCGCGGUAAUACGAAGGGGGCUAGCGUUGCUCGGAAUUACUGGGCGUAAAGGGAGCGUAGGCGGACAUUUAAGUCAGGGGUGAAAUCCCGGAGCUCAACUCCGGAACUGCCCUUGAUACUGGAUGUCUUGAGUGUGAGAGAGGUAUGUGGAACUCCGAGUGUAGAGGUGAAAUUCGUAGAUAUUCGGAAGAACACCUGUGGCGAAGGCGACAUACUGGCUCAUUACUGACGCUGAGGCUCGAAAGCGUGGGGAGCAAACAGGAUUAGAAACCCUGGUAGUCCAGAUG
rnacentral:rRNA from 1 species